rnacentral:piRNA from 1 species
UGAGAGCUGUCUUAGCCAGUUUGGGGUAG